AUUGAACGCUGGCGGCAGGCCUAACACAUGCAAGUCGAGCGGAUGAAGGGAGCUUGCUCCUGGAUUCAGCGGCGGACGGGUGAGUAAUGCCUAGGAAUCUGCCUGGUAGUGGGGGAUAACGUCCGGAAACGGGCGCUAAUACCGCAUACGUCCUGAGGGUGAAAGUGGGGGAUCUUCGGACCUCACGCUAUCAGAUGAGCCUAGGUCGGAUUAGCUAGUUGGUGGGGUAAAGGCCUACCAAGGCGACGAUCCGUAACUGGUCUGAGAGGAUGAUCAGUCACACUGGAACUGAGACACGGUCCAGACGCCUACGGGAGGCAGCAGUGGGGAAUAUUGGACAAUGGGCGAAAGCCUGAUCCAGCCAUGCCGCGUGUGUGAAGAAGGUCUUCGGAUUGUAAAGCACGUUAAGUUGGGAGGAAGGGCAGUAAGUUAAUACCUUGCUGUUUUGACGUUACCAACAGAAUAAGCACCGGCUAACUUCGUG
rnacentral:rRNA from 1 species